ensembl:snoRNA Snord52 small nucleolar RNA, C/D box 52
GGGAAUGAUGAUUUCACAGACUAGAGUCUCUGACGCUGGUCCUGAUGUCGACUAUAAAUCUGACUC